ensembl:lncRNA
UUUUUUUUUUUUUUGAGACAGGGUCUCAGUCUGUUGCCCAGGCCAGAGUGCCAUGGCAUAAUCGUAGCUCAUUGCAGCCUUAUCCUCCUGGGCUCAAGCUAUCCUCCUGCCUCAGUCUCCCAAAGUGAUGGGAUUACAGGAGUGAGCCACUGUACCUGCUCAAUUUUUUUCUUUUGCAUUUCUUUUGCCAUAGGAGAAAAGCAAACCAUUAUCUGAGUAUGUGUGGCUUGGGGGCACAAGCAGAUGUAGGGUGUAUCGCUCUGUCCUCAGAGAAACUAUCAGCAUGCUGUUGCUUUUGGUGUUGGCUGGCACUACUCAGGAUGAUCCAGCCUGCCUGCUUGGAUGGAUGAUUCAGUUAAUCCGAAAUCCUCCUCUCCGCCCAACCAAACCUCCUACUCAUUCACUGAGUCAUCACCCUUAUGAAAACCGCUUAGAUUACACUAUGUUAGAAGGAUCUCUCCCUCACCCGAGUUUCUCUUGUCCUCCAGGCUAGUACUGUGCAUCUGACACGUUGUUUCUUAGAAGCUAGCCUUGCUUUCACAGCUCAGCUAGAAUGGUCUCUGUGGCAGGAAUGAGAGCUCGUACAUUUCCCCCAUAAAGCCGAGCGCAAUGCUGGGCAAAGUAUUCGGUGAAUACUUGGAGUGAUUGAAAACUUGCCAUUAAAAGUAUAUACUGUGUAGGUGCUUACAUGAGGUGCUUAGAGUAGUCACAUUUACAGAAAUAGAAAGCAGAAUGGUAGCUGCCAGAGGCUGGGGGGUGGAGGAGACAUGGGGAGUCAUGGUUUAAGGGGUACAGACUUUCUUCUUGUGAAGAUGAAAAUGUUCUGGAGAUGCAUGGUGGUGAUGGUUGCACAACAAUAUGAACAUACUUAAUGCCACCAAAUUGUGCACCUAAAAAGGUAAAUUUUAUUUUAUGUAUAUUUUGCCACAAUAAGGUUGAAUUUUUAAAGAAACCUAUACUGUAGAAAUUUGAGGCUCUCCCCUAAGUCCACCCUCAGCUGCCCUCCCUGGUGCCCAUGUGCAGAAUCCAUAUCAUGUGUGAGUGCAAUGUCCAGUUGGAUUGCCAUGCUGGCCAGGCCCCAGCUACUGGACUCAGCUUCCCACUUGGCAGCUCCAUUUUUGUUUUGAAAAUGGGGUCAUUUGCACCAGGCUUUUAGUUUAGAUUUGUUUUUGUAGUUCUUGUCUACACAAGGAUGGUGAGGAAAGAGUCCAGAUCUAGAGCAAGCAAGGUUAUAGUUUCCCUGUGGUAAUGGAGAAAAGCUUAGUGAUGGUGAGAUUUCUUGACAUCUCACAGCCUCCAAUUUAGUUUGGUUUUGUUUUUCAUCUGUAAAAUGAAGAUUUCAAUAGUCCCUACCUCCUCAGGUUGUUGUGGGGAUUAAAUGAAGUGAGUUGUAUCAAAUACCUUCCACAGUGCCUGAGGCAGGGCAGGAGCUAGGAAGCGUUGUUCAUUAUUUAACGACAGCUGAGAAUUCUUGGAUUCUGUGACUCCAGCUUGGGUUCCAGAAGGACAGAAGCAGCCCACAGGGCUCCUGACACAGUGCCUUGUCUAUGAUGUGUGAUCCUAUACAUAACAAAACCCUUGGGAGGCACCAAGUUGGUGGCUGAGGAAACAAUCUGGUCCGGAGCGUCAGGGAUUUUUCGGUACGACUUUCCCCACUCAGUCAGAAACCCAGCUGCCUGCCAU